rnacentral:rRNA from 1 species
AGAGUUUGAUCAUGGCUCAGAGCGAACGCUGGCGGCAUGCUUAACACAUGCAAGUCGCACGGGCAGCUUCGGCUGUCAGUGGCGGACGGGUGAGUAACGCGUAGGUAUCUGUCUCCGGGUGGGGGAUAACCAUGGGAAACUAUGGCUAAUACCGCAUGAUACCCGAGGGUCAAAGGCGUAAGUCGCCUGGAGAGGAGCCUGCGUACGAUUAGCUUGUUGGCGGGGUAAAAGCCCACCAAGGCGACGAUCGUUAGCUGGUCUGAGAGGAUGAUCAGCCACACUGGGACUGAGACACGGCCCAGACUCCUACGGGAGGCAGCAGUGGGGAAUAUUGGACAAUGGGCGAAAGCCUGAUCCAGCAAUGCCGCGUGAGUGAAGAAGGUCUUCGGAUUGUAAAGCUCUUUCGACGGGGACGAUGAUGACGGUACCCGUAGAAGAAGCCCCGGCUAACUUCGUGCCAGCAGCCGCGGUAAUACGAAGGGGGCUAGCGUUGCUCGGAAUGACUGGGCGUAAAGGGCGCGUAGGCGGUUUGUACAGUCAGACGUGAAAUUCCCGGGCUCAACCUGGGGGCUGCGUUUGAUACGUGCGAGCUUGAGUUCGGAAGAGGGUCGUGGAAUUCCCAGUGUAGAGGUGAAAUUCGUAGAUAUUGGGAAGAACACCGGUGGCGAAGGCGGCGACCUGGUCCGAUACUGACGCUGAGGCGCGAAAGCGUGGGGAGCAAACAGGAUUAGAUACCCUAGUAGUCC